rnacentral:rRNA from 1 species
UACUCCUACGGGAGGCAGCAGUGGGGAAUCUUCCGCAAUGGACGAAAGUCUGACGGAGCAACGCCGCGUGAGUGAUGACGGCCUUCGGGUUGUAAAGCUCUGUUAAUCGGGACGAAAGGCCUUCUUGCGAAUAGUUAGAAGGAUUGACGGUACCGGAAUAGAAAGCCACGGCUAACUACGUGCCAGCAGCCGCGGUAAUACGUAGGUGGCAAGCGUUGUCCGGAAUUAUUGGGCGUAAAGCGCGCGCAGGCGGAUUGGUCAGUCUGUCUUAAAAGUUCGGGGCUUAACCCCGUGAUGGGAUGGAAACUGCCAAUCUAGAGUAUCGGAGAGGAAAGUGGAAUUCCUAGUGUAGCGGUGAAAUGCGUAGAUAUUAGGAAGAACACCAGUGGCGAAGGCGACUUUCUGGACGAAAACUGACGCUGAGGCGCGAAAGCCAGGGGAGCGAACGGGAUUAGAUACCCCGGUAGUCCUGGCCGUAAACGAUGGGUACUAGGUGUAGGAGGUAUCGACCCCUUCUGUGCCGGAGUUAACGCAAUAAGUACCCCGCCUGGGGAGUACGACCGCAAGGUUGAAACUCAAAGGAAUUGACGGA